UACGUAGGCAGCAAGCGUUGUUCGGAAUUACUGGGCGUAAAGGGUGUGUAGGCGGCUUCGUAAGUUCGGUGUGAAAUCUCCUGGCUUAACUGGGAGGGUGCGCCGAAAACUGCGGAGCUGGAGCGCAGGAGAGGAAAGCAGAAUUCCUGGUGUAGCGGUGAAAUGCGUAGAUAUCAGGAGGAAUACCGGUGGUGAAGGCGGCUUUCUGGACUGCUGCUGACGCUGAUACACGAAAGCGUGGGGAGCAAACAGG
rnacentral:rRNA from 1 species